UUCAACAGAUUAAACUAAAGAGGAAGUGUUUUUACUCCAACAAUAUAGAAAUAAUGGAAUGCAUUCAGCACUCGCAUAGCCGUUUGACUCCUGUGUCAAUUAAGCAGUAUUACAAUUGUGAAAAAAGUUACAACUUGAUUUGCAGUAAAUGAAAUCCAUUUCUAGUUCGACCAUAACUUGCAGCAAACUGUUGAAACCAAAUGUUGACGUUAAAUGGCAUCAUUUGCUGCCAUCAGCACUGCCACCGCCAAAUAAGUACCCUAGGGAAGAUCCACCACCAGGUGCUGCUUGGACCUUGGUCGAACGCCUCUCCUGCAAUACAAAGAUUCAUAACACUUAAAUCUUCGAGCAAGCCUAGAAGGCGUUUAUGGUUUGGUUUGGAUCGAUUUUUCUUUAAAAUAAUCAAAUCAAGUAAGUCGAUUUUUUAAAUUUUAGAAUCAAACCAAAAUAAUUAAAUCGAUUUUUUCUCGAUUCGGUUUAUGUCGGGUUUUGUCGGUUUUAAAAAUUUUCAGUUAUUUGUCGGUUUUUUCUUAAAUAUUAGACAUGCACUAACAACCACAUAUUCCGGAGACCAUAUUUUCAACGUAACGCUAUCAAAUCAAUUGCUCUUAGAGAAAUCUAUUAUUUACCAAGAUAUAUUGAUGAUAAUUGAAUCAAAUAGUGAUAAAUAAUAAGGACUCAAUUAAAAAUAUAUUAUUUUUAAUACGAAAUGGAUUCUUACACUUAAAAACUACCAAUCAAACUAGAAUGUAAAUGUGAUGAAUUAUACUAAAAAUGCAAACUAUUAACAUUAACCAUUAAAUUUUUGAAACUUUGCAUAAAAAUAUACAUACAUAUAGGUGUAAUAAUAAAUUUGAAAUAGCAACUCCUAUGGUUGGUUUGGUUCGAUUUUUUUCUCAUUAAAAUCAAAACCAAACCAAAUUUGAUUGGUUUUUUAAAAUUCAAAACCAAAACCAAACCAAAUAAAAAAGUAUUGGUUUUUUUGGUCGGUUUGGUUUGGUUUUCAGUUUGGUUUGAUUUUUCGGACCUUUAUGAACAAUCCUAGUGCUGAUAUUUAUAACAUUCGUUUCAUCGGAUAGACAAGGAAAUCAAAGCCUAAAUAUGCAGACUGGUCGUGCCUAUCGAACCAGUUAGCCACAUCUUAUAACAUCUUACAGUAUACGAAGUAACGAGGAUUGAAGGGACAUGUCAAAACGAAACAGAAGUAUGUAUAUACAACAACAAGAACCCAGUAUAAUCCCACUUAGUGGGGCCUGGGGAGGGUAGUAUGUACACAGACCUUACCUCUACCCUUGGGCAGAGAGACUGUUUCCAAAUAGACCCCCGGCAUCCUUCCCUCCAAGAACUUCAUCCUGCAUUAAUUAAAAAUAUUUUAUUUUAUUUUUUAAAAAAAGAAAAAUGCUUUUAGAGCUUAAUUAAAUACAUGGUAGUGCACACAUAUUGCACUUUGCGUUUUAAGUUAUACUCAUAGUAUUAACGGCAAUAUUCAUUUCAGAAGACACCAUAUAAAGAUGACUACCCAUAGGAAGCAAACACUCACGAAAAGAGAGUCAGCAGCUCAGUGAUAGACAAGAUUGCAGCUGCAAAAAUCAACUUCUUUAAGACUUCCAUGUUGCAGUGCAAGUGAACCUCUACAAGAAUGUCUUACAGUUUCACGGCUAGUCCACUCAUUGAUCUUGCACGUAUAAAUCGUUAUCAUUAACUUACUUCAAAAGUAUGCAUACACAUGCACUAAUAAUAGGUGAAUGGGUUCAAAUAAGAAAAACCGUCUGGAUAGCGUAGCAUAGUAGAUUGUUGAAGAUUAUAAGUAAAUGAAAGUGACUCUUUUAUUACCCUCCCUAGACCCCACUUUGUGGAACUAUACUGGGUAGUUGUUGUUGUUGUUGUUGAAAGUGACUCUUUUACUGUUUAAGCUUUUAAACGAGAUGAUCACGCUAUUUAUUCAAUGUGGUACCAAAGCAAGCAGAGGUCCUAAGUUCAAUUCUUAAUAAAUUAAUUUCAUACUCUUAAACAGCUUAAACUUUUAGAUGAUAUAGCCAUACAAUUUAACACUUACAAGUUAAGAUACUGUAAAAAGCACUCAAAGUUCAAGAAAAAUAGCACCAGGAAUUAUAAGAAGUUGAUAGCUAACAUACUGUUAGAAAGUUGCCGCAGUUCUGGCCAUCAGCACGGAGAUAGUUGUUUGUGCUACUCUGAAUGCCUGCUGGAACAUUCUUGGUGUUAUCCACAGGUGGUGAAACAGCAGCAGGCUUUGAGGCAGGUUCAUUACUUGGGGCUUUUUCCUGGCUGCGAGUAGGUUGAGAAUUGUUACCAGGCUCUCCACUUCCAA
rnacentral:lncRNA from 1 species